UACGUAGGGGGCGAGCGUUGUCCGGAAUUAUUGGGCGUAAAGAGCUCGUAGGCGGUUUGUCGCGUCUGCUGUGAAAAUCCAGGGCUUAACCCUGGACCUGCAGUGGGUACGGGCAGACUGGAGUGCGGUAGGGGAGAUCGGAAUUCCUGGUGUAGCGGUGAAAUGCGCAGAUAUCAGGAGGAACACCGGUGGCGAAGGCGGAUCUCUGGGCCGUAACUGACGCUGAGGAGCGAAAGCAUGGGGAGCGAACAGG
rnacentral:rRNA from 1 species